rnacentral:tRNA from 1 species
GGGGCGGUGGCGCAGCUGGGAGCGCGUCAGACUGAAGUCAAACUUCAAUCAAUAAUCUGAAGGUCAUCGGUUCAAGCCCGGUCCACCCUA